AGUCGACGAACUCUGGUAUUGAUUGGUGCUUGCAUCAUGAUUUACAUUUGAGUGAGUGGCGAACUGGUGAGUAACACGUGGGAAACCUGCCCAGAAGCGGGGGAUAACACCUGGAAACAGAUGCUAAUACCGCAUAACAACUUGGACCGCAUGGUCCGAGCUUGAAAGAUGGCUUCGGCUAUCACUUUUGGAUGGUCCCGCGGCGUAUUAGCUAGAUGGUGGGGUAACGGCUCACCAUGGCAAUGAUACGUAGCCGACCUGAGAGGGUAAUCGGCCACAUUGGGACUGAGACACGGCCCAAACUCCUACGGGAGGCAGCAGUAGGGAAUCUUCCACAAUGGACGAAAGUCUGAUGGAGCAACGCCGCGUGAGUGAAGAAGGGUUUCGGCUCGUAAAACUCUGUUGUUAAAGAAGAACAUAUCUGAGAGUAACUGUUCAGGUAUUGACGGUAUUUAACCAGAAAGCCACGGCUAACUACGUGCCAGCAGCCGCGGUAAUACGUAGGUGGCAAGCGUUGUCCGGAUUUAUUGGGCGUAAAGCGAGCGCAGGCGGUUUUUUAAGUCUGAUGUGAAAGCCUUCGGCUCAACCGAAGAAGUGCAUCGGAAACUGGGAAACUUGAGUGCAGAAGAGGACAGUGGAACUCCAUGUGUAGCGGUGAAAUGCGUAGAUAUAUGGAAGAACACCAGUGGCGAAGGCGGCUGUCUGGUCUGUAACUGACGCUGAGGCUCGAAAGUAUGGGUAGCAAACAGGAUUAGAUACCCUGGUAGUCCAUACCGUAAACGAUGAAUGCUAAGUGUUGGAGGGUUUCCGCCCUUCAGUGCUGCAGCUAACGCAUUAAGCAUUCCGCCUGGGGAGUACGGCCGCAAGGCUGAAACUCAAAGGAAUUGACGGGGGCCCGCACAAGCGGUGGAGCAUGUGGUUUAAUUCGAAGCUACGCGAAGAACCUUACCAGGUCUUGACAUACUAUGCAAAUCUAAGAGAUUAGACGUUCCCUUCGGGGACAUGGAUACAGGUGGUGCAUGGUUGUCGUCAGCUCGUGUCGUGAGAUGUUGGGUUAAGUCCCGCAACGAGCGCAACCCUUAUUAUCAGUUGCCAGCAUUAAGUUGGGCACUCUGGUGAGACUGCCGGUGACAAACCGGAGGAAGGUGGGGAUGACGUCAAAUCAUCAUGCCCCUUAUGACCUGGGCUACACACGUGCUACAAUGGAUGGUACAACGAGUUGCGAACUCGCGAGAGUAAGCUAAUCUCUUAAAGCCAUUCUCAGUUCGGAUUGUAGGCUGCAACUCGCCUACAUGAAGUCGGAAUCGCUAGUAAUCGCGGAUCAGCAUGCCGCGGUGAAUACGUUCCCGGGCCUUGUACACACCGCCCGUCACACCAUGAGAGUUUGUAACACCCAAAGUCGGUGGGGUAACCUUUUAGGAACCAGCCGCCUAAG
rnacentral:rRNA from 2 species